rnacentral:rRNA from 1 species
GAAUAUUGGACAAUGGGCGAAAGCCUGAUCCAGACAUGCCGCGUGUGUGAAGAAGGUCUUCGGAUUGUAAAGCACUUUAAGUUGGGAGGAAGGGUUGUAGAUUAAUACUCUGCAAUUUUGACGUUACCGACAGAAUAAGCACCGGCUCACUCUGUGCCAGCAGCCUCGGUAAUACAGAGGGUGCAAGCGUUAAUCGGAAUUACUGGGCGUAAAGCGCGCGUAGGUGGUUUGUUAAGUUGGAUGUGAAAUCCCCGGGCUCAACCUGGGAACUGCAUUCAAAACUGACAAGCUAGAGUAUGGUAGAGGGUGGUGGAAUUUCCUGUGUAGCGGUGAAAUGCGUAGAUAUAGGAAGGAACACCAGUGGCGAAGGCGACCACCUGGACUGAUACUGACACUGAGGUGCGAAAGCGUGGGGAGCAAACAGG